rnacentral:rRNA from 1 species
UACGUAGGGUGCAAGCGUUAAUCGGAAUUACUGGGCGUAAAGCGUGCGCAGGCGGUCUUGCAAGACAGAUGUGAAAUCCCCGGGCUUAACCUGGGAACUGCAUUUGUGACUGCAAGGCUAGAGUGUGUCAGAGGGAGGUGGAAUUCCGCGUGUAGCAGUGAAAUGCGUAGAGAUGCGGAGGAACACCGAUGGCGAAGGCAGCCUCCUGGGAUAACACUGACGCUCAUGCACGAAAGCGUGGGGAGCAAACAGG